AGUUAAAAUGCGAAAAUGUGUGGAGGCUAAUUAUAAGGAUAGAGAAUUUAGGUGAAGAAGAGCUACUUUUAGAAAAACAGGACUAUAGAGUUUCAUUUGUUGGGCCAGAUUCACCACUCCAAGUCAGAAGGGUGCUAUUUGACAAAGUGUUUUACCACAAUAGUCAUAUUAAACCUUGGCUUACAAAGGAAAGGCCUGCGAUCCAGUUUAACAAUACAAUUAUUGACUCCAAUUCAUCAGGUGAAAUUUGGGGAACUAUCACAUUCAAAAGUGAUAAAGGAAGCAUAUUAGACUUCAAAGUACCAAAAAUUUCCAUGGAAUCCAGAUAGGGGCACUUUACAU
rnacentral:misc_RNA from 1 species